GGCCGGGGCCCUGCACCGGAAGGGAGGGCGGAAGCCACGGGACGUGGAGCAGAUGGUGAGGAUAGUGGGGAGGUAGCAGCAGAGGAUGACCCGAGGCAAAAGUGCAAGUGAAGAAAAGUCGCCUUGCCGGGCAGAGGUACGGGACCAAGGCGCCUCCUCUGGGCUGAGGAGUUAGAGGGAAGAAAAUGGCGCCCUGUCAUGAGGGCGCGAGGUCCGAGUUGAGGGGAGAAGACUGAGGGACACAGAAGUGGCCGAAGUGAGGGCGCUGAGGUCAGCCUGAGCUGAGAGGGCCGGCAGAUCACGCCGCAGCCGAAGUGAACGAACUCGAGUGAGCUCUUCUCUUUUUCAGGAAAUUACUCCAGGAUUUGAAUCAUCACAAGAGAUUCACCAGAGGAUUUUAUACACUUGGGCUGUGGCAGCAGACUAAUUACAUCACAGCACUAGGCUAAAGAAGAAAAAUCACAUGAUCAUAUCAAUAGAUGCAGAAAAAGCAUCUGACAAAAACCAGCUCUCAUUCAUGAUCAGAACUCUCAGCAAACUAGUAAUAGAGGGGAACUUACUCAACUUGAUA
rnacentral:lncRNA from 10 species